GAAACUCCUCACGCCCGUGGGGUGGAGCAGGUGUAAUGGGGGACACCUGUUCGAAAAAAAGCGGCU
rnacentral:sRNA from 18 species